GAGGGUCUAGCUCAGGGGUAGAGCACGUGCUUAGCACACACGAGGUUCUGGGUUCAACCCCUAGGAUCCCCA
rnacentral:tRNA from 1 species